rnacentral:tRNA from 2 species
ACAUUAAUGGGGUAGUGGUAACCUGGGUCAUUGCCAUCGACCCGCCGGGGGUUCGAUUCCCACUUAAUGCA